CUUAUCAAGAGUGACGGAGGGUUCAGGCCCUGUGAAGUCCGGCAACCUGCCGACGUAUGGACGCAUACGCGGGCAAGGUGCCAAUUCCUGCGGCGCAAGCCGAGAGAUGAGG
rnacentral:ncRNA from 1 species